UACGUAGGGUGCAAGCGUUAUCCGGAAUCACUGGGCGUAAAGCGUGCGUAGGUGGCGCGUUAAGUGAGAUGUUAAAUCGUGUGGCUCAACCAUAUCGAUGCAUCUCAUACUGGUGUGCUAGAGGACGGCAGAGGCAAGUGGAAUUGGUAGUGUAGCAGUGAAAUGCGUAGAUAUUACCAGGAACACCAAUGGCGAAGGCAGCUUGCGUGGGCCACUCCUGACACUGAGGUACGAAAG
rnacentral:rRNA from 1 species